AUUGAACGCUGGCGGCAUGCUUUACACAUGCAAGUCGAACGGCAGCGCGGGGCAACCUGGCGGCGAGUGGCGAACGGGUGAGUAAUACAUCGGAACGUACCCAGAAGUGGGGGAUAACGUAGCGAAAGUUACGCUAAUACCGCAUACGUUCUACGGAAGAAAGUGGGGGACCUUCGGGCCUCAUGCUUUUGGAGCGGCCGAUGUCUGAUUAGCUAGUGGGUGAGGUAAAGGCUCACCAAGGCGACGAUCAGUAGCUGGUCUGAGAGGACGAACAGCCACACUGGGACUGAGACACGGCCCAGACUCCUACGGGAGGCAGCAGUGGGGAAUUUUGGACAAUGGGCGCAAGCCUGAUCCAGCAAUGCCGCGUGAGUGAAGAAGGCCUUCGGGUUGUAAAGCUCUUUUGUCAGGGAAGAAACGGCCGAGGCUAAUACCUUUGGCUAAUGACGGUACCUGAAGAAUAAGCACCGGCUAACUACGUGCCAGCCGCCGCCGUAA
rnacentral:rRNA from 1 species